rnacentral:rRNA from 1 species
AUGACGAACAAGAAGCCUACUUGGUCCUCCUCGGCGUCCGCCUGCUCCAGGGGCUCCCGCAUUGGGCUAUCCUGCGCGGUCACGAACCAGAAGAAGAAGAAGAGGGCCAGGAGCGACGCCGUCGUUGUCCCGGCGAGGGGGUCAUCCGUCUACAGAGGCGUGAGCAGGCACUGCGCCUCGGGGAAGUACGAGGUGCACCUGUGGGACAGGCAUUUCCGGAGCACAGUUCAGAACAGGAGAGGCAGGCAAGGAGCUUAUGACACCGAAGAGGCUGCAGCUCGCACCUAUGAUCUCGCGGCGCUCAAGUACUGGGGUGCACAGUGUGGCGGCCUCCUCCUUAACUUCCCAGUGGACACGUACAAGGACGAGCUGGAGAGGAUGCAACGCGUGACCAGAGAGGAGUACGUGGCCAUACUCAGGCGGGACAGCAGUGGCUUCACCAGAGGCGCCUCCAAGUACAGGGGGGUAGCAAAGCAUCACAAGAAGGGCCGGUGGGAGGCGAGGAUAGGCUGCGGUAGCGGCAGCGGCGGCGGCAGCGGCAGCAAGAGAUACCUCUACUUGGGGAUAUUCAUUACCCAGGAAGAGGCGGCCCGGGCCUACGACCUCGCGGCGAUACAACUCCGGGGCCUCGCCGCGGUCACCAACUUCGACGUCCAUUCCUACUACGUGGACCAGCAGCUGCAGGCGCCCCUCUGCAAGGUCGACUUAGACCCGGAACCGGCAGGGCAACUGCUGCUGCCUAAGGUCGAGCCCAAGGAGGAAGAGCUCGAGCCCGUGCCAGUGCUCCGGGACGACGUGGACGACGUCGACUGCGCCAUCGCCGAGGUACUGCAGGCGCUCUGCAUGGAUCGCGCCGACUUCGAGGCCAGGUACCCGCCCCGCGACGCGCCCGGAUGGUGGCCGUCUGACGACGACUUGCGCGAGCUGCCGGCUUACGUGGGCUUCGAGGACGACAUCGAGAGCGUGCUCUUCGACGCGCCGUCCGCCGCCUGA